rnacentral:rRNA from 1 species
UGCGUAGGUGGAAUGAUAAGUCGGAUGUGAAAGCCCCGGGCUCAACCUGGGAGGGUCAUACGAUACUGUCUAACUAGAGUACGGUAGAGGAGAGUGGAAUUUCCGGUGUAGCGGUGAAAUGCGUAGAUAUCGGAAGGAACACCAGUGGCGAAGGCGGCUCUCUGGACUGAUACUGACACUGAGGCACGAAAGCGUGGGGAGCAAACA